rnacentral:tRNA from 4 species
GUGAGCGUAGCUCAAUGGCAGAGCACUGGACUGUGGCUCCAGGGGUUGAGGGUUCGAGUCCCUUCGUUCACCCCA